rnacentral:rRNA from 1 species
CCGGAUUUAUUGGGCGUAAAGGGUGCGUAGGCGGUUUAAUAAGUCUAUGGUCUAAGUUCAACGCUUAACGUUGUGAUGCUAUAGAAACUGUUUGACUAGAGUUGGAUAGAGGCAAGUGGAAUUCCAUGUGUAGCGGUAAAAUGCGUAAAGAUAUGGAGGAACACCAGUAGCGAAGGCGGCUUGCUGGGUCUUAACUGACGCUGAGGCACGAAAGCGUGGGGAGCAAACAGGAUUAGAUACCCUGGUAGUCCACGCCGUAAACGAUGAGUACUAAGUGUUGGGUUAAACCAGUGCUGAAGUUAACGCAUUAAGUACUCCGCCUGAGUAGUACGUACGCAAGUAUGAAACUUAAAGGAAUUGACGGGACUCCGCACAAGCGGUGGAUCAUGUUGUUUAAUUCGAAGAUACACGAAAAACCUUACCAGGUCUUGACAUACUCUGCAAAGCUAUAGAAAUAUAGUGGAGGUUAUCAGGGAUACAGGUGGUGCAUGGUUGUCGUCAGCUCGUGUCGUGAGAUGUUGGGUUAAGUCCCGCAACGAGCGCAACCCUUAUCGCUAGUUACCAUCAUUUAGUUGGGCACUUUAGUGAGACUGCCAAUGAUAAAUUGGAGGAAGGUGGGGAUUACGUCAAAUCAUCAUGCCCCUUAUGACCUGGGCUACAAACGUGAUACAAUGGCUGUUACAAAGAGUAGCUGAAGCGUGAGUUUUUAGCAAAUCUCAAAAAAACAGUCUCAGUUCGGAUUGAAGUCUGCAACUCGACUUCAUGAAGUCGGAAUCGCUAGUAAUCGCGAAUCAGCAUGUCGUGGUGAAUACGUUCUCGGGGUUUGUACACACCGCCCGUCAAACCAUGAAAGUUGACAAUACCCGAAACCAGUAGCCUAACUUGCAAAAGAGGGAACUGUCUAAGGUAGGGUUGAUGAUUGGGGUUAAGUCGUAACAAGGUAUCCCUACCGGAAGGUGGGGAUGGAUCACCUCCUUUCUAAGGAAAAUAUCAUCU